rnacentral:pre_miRNA from 1 species
GUCGUACUCCCUCCGUCCGGAAUUACUUGUCAUCAAAAUGGAUGAAAAUGGAUGUAUCUAGAACUAAAGUACAUCUAGAUACAUCCAUUUCAAUGACAAGUAUUUCCGGACGGAGGGAGUAGUUU